UACGGAGGGGUUAGCGUUGUUCGGAAUUACUGGGCGUAAAGCGCACGUAGGCGGAUUGGAAAGUUGGGGGUGAAAUCCCGGGGCUCAACCCCGGAACUGCCUCCAAAACUUCCAGUCUGGAGUUCGAGAGAGGUGAGUGGAAUUCCGAGUGUAGAGGUGAAAUUCGUAGAUAUUCGGAGGAACACCAGUGGCGAAAGGCGGCUCACUGGCUCGAUACUGACGCUGAGGUGCGAAAGUGUGAGGAGCAAACAGG
rnacentral:rRNA from 1 species